UACAGAGGGUGCGAGCGUUGUCCGGAAUCACUGGGCGUAAAGGGCGCGUAGGCGGCGCGGUAAGCGUGCGGUGAAAGCCCGGGGCUCAACCCCGGGUCGGCCGUGCGGACUGCCGGGCUGGAGCACUGUAGAGGCAGGUGGAAUUCCGGGUGUAGCGGUGGAAUGCGUAGAGAUCCGGAAGAACACCGGUGGCGAAGGCGGGUCUCUGGGCCGAUACUGACGCUGAGGAGCGAAAGCGUGGGGAGCGAACAGG
rnacentral:rRNA from 1 species